rnacentral:lncRNA from 1 species
CAGAAAAGCUGGGAUACAUGAUGACUGUCAUCCCUUGAGUCACGUGCCCUGUAGCUGCCACUGUUGGGCUUGACUCUCUGUCCUUGGGCCCACUUUGAAAAUCCCUGGGAAGUCCUUGGAGUCAGAUGAUCAGGCCUCCACGCCUCUGCCAAAAAGUCUGUUCAAUCAGGAGUCCCCAACCCCUGAGCCAUGGACUGAUAUGGAUCUAUGGUCUGUUAGGAACUGGGCUGCACAGAAGGAGCAAUGGUGUUUCUAGAAUUUCCUUAUAGGAGGAGUGAAGAGUAAGCAUUUGGAUUGGACCAGAAUUUGGAGAACUUGUCAUGUUGCUCUAUGUGCAUAUGAAAUACAUCAUCGUAACUUAGAAUGUGAAUUAUAGAACAAAAAUGAAAGUUAGAAAAAUAUUCUAAACAUAUUUUUAUGA